rnacentral:rRNA from 1 species
AAAGCUGAUCUGCCCUGGGUAAGUCGGGGCCUAAGGCGAGGUCGGAAGACGUAGCCGAUGGACAACAGGUGGAGAUUCCUGUACUGCAUAUGGUCAGAACUGUGGGGACACGGGGUGUUAACGGAAGCCGGGAAAGGAAAGACCGGUCCAAGCACAGGAGGCGUUGCGCAGGCAAAUCCGCGCAAUAAGCCAAAGGUGUGACGGGGAGCGAAAUUAUAGUAGCGAAGUCCGGAUACAUGCUGUCAAGAAAAGCCGCUAUUGCGCCAUAUGUACCCGUACCGUAAACCGACACAGGUGGAUGAGGAGAGAAUCCUAAGGCCGGCGGGAGAAGUGUUGUUAAGGAACUCGGCAAAAUGGCCCCGUAACUUCGGGAGAAGGGGCGCCCAGAAAUGGGCCGCAGAGAAAAGGCUCAAGCAACUGUUUAGCAAAAACACAGGUCUAUGCGAAACCGAAAGGUGAGGUAUAUGGGCUGACGCCUGCCCGGUGCUGGAAGGUUAAGGGGAGAGGUUAGCCGCAAGGCGAAGCUUUGAACUUAAGCCCCAGUAAACGGCGGCCGUAACAAUAACGGUCCUAAGGUAGCGAAAUUCCUUGUCGGGUAAGUUCCGACCCGCACGAAAGGCGUAAUGAUUUGAGCACUGUCUCGACAACACACCCGGUGAAAUUGAAAUACCAGUGAAGAUGCUGGUUACCUGCGCCAGGACGGAAAGACCCCAUGGAGCUUUACUCUAGUUUGAUACUGGGACCCGGUAUGACAUGUACAGGAUAGGUGGGAGGCAGAGAAUUAAUGACGCCAGUCAUUAAGGAGCCGCUGUUGGGAUACCACCCUUGUGAUGCCAGGUUUCUAACGAGCUGCCGUGAACCGGCAGGCGGACAAUGUCAGGCGGGGAGUUUGACUGGGGCGGUCGCCUCCGAAAGGGUAUCGGAGGCGCUCAAAGGUUCCCUCAGAAUGGUUGGAAACCAUUCGGAGAGUGCAAAGGCAGAAGGGAGCCUGACUGCGACACCGACGGGUGGAGCAGGUACGAAAGUAGGACUUAGUGAUCCGGUGGUAUAAAGUGGGAUUGCCAUCGCUCAACGGAUAAAAGCUACCCUGGGAUAACAGGCUUAUCACUCCCAAGAGUUCACAUCGACGGAGUGGUUUGGCACCUCGAUGUCGGCUCAUCGCAUCCUGGGGCUGGAGUAGGUCCCAAGGGUUGGGCUGUUCGCCCAUUAAAGCGGUACGCGAGCUGGGUUCAGAACGUCGUGAGACAGUUCGGUCCCUAUCCGGCGCGGGCGUAAGAGAUUUGAGAGGAGCUGUCCUUAGUACGAGAGGACCGGGAUGGACGGACCACUGGUGUAUCUGUUGCACCACCAGGUGCACGGCAGAGUAGCCAAGUCCGGACGGGAUAAACGCUGAAGGCAUCUAAGCGUGAAGCCCCCCUCAAGAUGAGAUCUCUCAUUCGAAAGAAGUAAGACCCCUUGAAGACGACGAGGUAGAUAGGGCAGGGGUGGAAGGGCAGUAAUGUCCGGAGCUGACUGUUACUAAUCGGUCGAGGGCUUGACC